CCAGAUCCCCACUGCUCUAGGGCAAUCUGAAAAAUUAAAUGGUGGGAUCAGGUUGUUCAGUACUGAUUUGGAGCACUGUUGUCCACUACUGCUGUUGCUGUCAAAUAAGGUUGCCAAAGAGGAUGCACACUAGUGAUAACCCUGUUUCUUCUUGUAGUUAAAGAUACUAGAAAACCUUUUGUGGCCUGCAAUGAAAUCCUGGAAAUGAGAUUCAUUGAGGUGUGAAAUGACAAAAAAUAUAUUCCAUCGGCUGUGUCCAACCUAGUGCCCUCCAGGUUUGCUUGGCUAGGGUUUGUGGGAUUGGUAUUUUGUAAGCAGCCUUGAAUACUUUUUUGGGGGAAGGAAGGGAAAAUAUAUAAAUAACAUGUAACCACAGCAUUCAUUCUUUGCAUUGUUUGUUGGUUGGAGGGCAUAUGAUUAGGUUAGGUAAGACCACAAUAUAUUGCAUUAAUUUUUCUUUAUACUUUGUCAUGUAAGAGAAUUAUGAGAACAACAUUCCCACCUCAGAGAAUAAGAUUGGUAGGGGCUGGUGACAUGAAAUAUAGCAAGUCUAGCAGUUCAUAUAUUCACACCCAGACAAGGUGGUAGUGUUGUCAAAAAGAUAGUCAUUCUUUAGGGACAGAUAAUAAAAAAUGGGUGUCUCAACUAAAAAUGAACAUAGAGGUCUAUAACAUCAAUGGGAUUGAUGCUUGAAUGUGGCUAGUGUGAUGGAUUUAGCUCAGCAGUGUCCUAGCCAACCAAAGGUACAAGGCAAGGAAGGUAAAGCAUCUCUUUCAAGAACAUUUGUACCUCUCCUGAAACUUUGUUAUGGAUGUGAUCCAACUAAAUAGUUCUUCUUUCUCCCUGUCCCCAUAUAAAUGAUUGGCUUAUACAUUCUAUAUGCAAAGUACUUUGGCAUCCAGAUUGGUUUUUCCAACACAUCCCUAAGUGGCAUAAUUAUUUUUUCUUUAAAAAAGAAAUUAACUGCAAGUUUAGUAGGAGGAUGAGAGUUUUAACAGAAGCAACUGCAACAGCUAAUUAUGUAUAUAUAAAAAGCAUAUGCUGUUUUUAAGAAACAUUAUGUUAAACGCUACCAUAACCUUUUGUUCUCAAAGAAAGAAGUUAGAUAAUACAAAUGCAAUGUGAUGUAAACUGUGAUGUGUUUUCAUGCUGUUUUCAUGCUAUUAAACUGUUCCCAUCAAUUUUUAAAGAAGAAAUUUAUCUGAAGUCAUUUGUGAAAAAUGCUGCGGCCAUGUAAAUCUUUGCAUUCUGACAGGCUCCUGUUGACUUCAAUGUGUGAUUGCAAUGGAGCACUGAGGAAUGGGUAACUUUCAAAAUGAAAACGAUCCUUAUUCCAGCAUGGUUAAUAUAUUUGGAUUCCAGCCAGGUAGGAAGUGACAUCCCACUUCUGAUCAGGAACCAGCCUCUGAAGCAAAUCUCAAAGAGAUGUAUCUUCCCAUGAGCAAACAAAAUGAGAGUUUUAAUGGACGUAGAAUUUUUGUCAAGUGAUUUCACCACUUCUUGACUAAAAUGUGAGUACAUAAAAUGAUAGCAUAAAUGAGAAAUCAUCUUAAGUCUUGUUGUGGGUUUGUUGUGUUGUAGCACAGAGAACAAGAUAAAACAACCCUUUAAAAUGGCUACUGGGUCUGCAAAGCUCUGGGAAAGUUUUUUUUAAAGUACUUGUUUGCUGAAUGGUAACCUGUAAACACAUCACGGUGGGUGAUAACUGUGAUAAAAUGCCAGGUUUCUGCAAAUGAUAGGAAACUUGAAGCAGAGAAGAAGAAACACAGUUAGCAAAUGUGCUCACCCUAAGAGCACAAGAAGAGUCCUGCUGGAUCAGACUCAGUGUUUAUCUAUAUCACUAUCAAGUUACCCUCAGAAGGCAGUCAGAUGCCACCAGGUAGCAAGAUAGGAAUGCAAUAUGACUUCACCAGUGCUUCUUCACCAGUGCUUCUUCACAGUUCUAUCACAUCUUGUGGCAGUAAAUUCCACGACUGUAGGUAGAUUCAUAUCUCUGAUUUAUUCCAUGUAUUAUUCCACUUAUAAUAUUAAGAUUUUGCAAGGGCAGUUUUUCAUCAUGCAGCAAACUCUGCUUGGUCUUACAUCAAGCAUUAGGGAUCUAACUUACAUUUUAGGCAAUUUUGAUCAUAGAAUCAUGGCAUGCGUUGUCUGAUGGACAGCAUGUGAGGUCAUAAAAUAAGGUAAAAAAGUGGAGCCCAGCAUUAUUUCCCCUAAAAAACUCCAUCAGAUGAGGUCCCAACUUUAGACUUUGCCCAAGGCAUCACUCCUCAAGUGAUCUUUUCAAAAUUCAGUGUCUCGCUCAGACCUUGUUUUGAGUGUCCUGCCACUAUAAAUAAUGUAAUAGUAUCGAGGGCAGCAAUGGAGACAUACAGUUUAAUCCCCAUAUUGCCAAGUCUGCUAUCUGUGGUUUUAUUUGUCCAUAUCUGACAAAAUAUGUCCUCUUUGGGAAUUUUCUAGGUCAAGUAGCAGGACUGUAUGAGAUUCCAUGGUUGGGGGUCCUUCAUUUCAGCAGAGUUUGUUAACAUUCAUAUAUCUAUGUGAACUAUGAGAAUGUAUCCUCCAUCCCAGGAUACAGGACUUGUACUGUAUUCAGGGGAAUCCUAAGUAUUUAUUUAUUUAUGACAUUUCUACCCCGCCUUUCUCAAUCCCAGAGGGGACUCAAGGCAGCUUUACACAUAGGCAACUAUUUGAUGCCUUAAAACAAAGUACAAUUUAAAUAAACAUUUUAAAAUAGGAUUAUUAAAUACAUUAAAACAUUUAGAACAAUUAAAACAAGAUUGCAUUAUUACUUGAAGUAAGUGGAAUACUUCAAGUAAGUGGAAUGGAGAUCAGGUGAUUGUAAAGUGCAAGCUGCAAGACACCUACAGCCAAUACUCUAGUUUCUUGUGAAGUUUUAUGAAUCCUUAUUUCUUACAAUUCUAGCUUCUUGCCACAUCAUUUAGCAUUGUACUAAUGAGAUGUAUGUCAAACUCUUGCACUGGAAAGAGGAUAUCCAAGGAGCUUUUUCCACCCAGUGUCAGCAGCAGGAGGCAUAUCAUUCAUUUAAGUGCACUGCUCAUUUACCCAAACAGCUGACUUCACCUGGCAAUUAAUUUGAAAAUCCAUCAUUUAAUUAUUAGCUCAAGGGACAAAGUAAAUGAACAACAUCACUACCCUAUUUACAUGUUUAAUCGGAUUAAUAUUUUGCCUUUCAGAUUUCAGCAGUUAGUUUGCCUGAGUAAUUUUUUUUCACCAGUAAUGGAAUGAUUAAUUGUUUGUUUUGGGGGUGUGCAGAUUCUUAUUUGUUCUGCUUGGAGGUGAGUUUUUAAAGUUUGAAAAUUAACAGUUCCUUGGCAAUACAUUCUUUGCAACCUAUGCUUGAGAUGUUAUACUUUCCCUUUGUUUUAGUUUGUUUAUUUAUUAAUUUAUUUAUUUCUAUCCUGCUUUUCUCCUGAAACAGGGCUCAAAGCGGCAAACAACACGCAGACAAAAUAUUAUUUAUUUAUUUGUUUGUUUGUUUACAGCAUUUCUACCACACCCUUCUCACCCGAGGGGACUCAGGGCGGCUCACAGAGAUUGUCAAAAUUUAAUGCCCAAAACAUAAUUAUAAAAUCAGAACAGUACAUAUAAAUCAAUUAAUAAUACCAUAAUAUAAUAUUAUGUAAUAAUAUUAUAUAACCAUAGAAAAUAAACAUAAUCAAACCUCAACAUAUCUAAUGAAAAUUAUAAAAAAUAAAAACCCCACUUAAAAAGUGUACUUCUCCAAUCAGUUGUGUUGCAUUUUGAGAUAACUCAAUCUGUAUCACCUGCACACAUUCCAGUUUCCUUCAAAUAUGAAAUCAAUUAAACUGUGGAAGAUUAAAUCAGCAACAUUAUGUACACUAAGUGUAAAGUCAAUAAGGUUGUUAUUCUUUCUGUGCUAUGUUUAAUAAUAAGCAUGGGACCUUGGACAUACAAGAUAGCACCUUCUUAAGCAUGUUCAAAAAUAUUUUAGGGUUUUGUUGUAGACUAGUUUGUAUGCUGGAUUGGUGACUACUUGUAAGGAUGUCUGCUUUCUGUGCAAAACAUCACAGCAGUGAAGUCAACAUCAAGGAGUAUUGGCUAUACUCAUGUAUAAGUCUAGAAAUUUUAAUCAGCUCCAAAAAACCUUGUUUGACUUAUGCAUGGGUCAAUGUAAGUACUGUACCUUAACUCUUUUAUUAAAAAAAGGAGCUAUGCCCUUCUCAGCAGAUUGGUAAAAAAGCAAGAGUUUAGUCUGACCUGGGAGAACCUAAAAGAAGCACUGGCCCUAUUCUGUUUGCUACAAUGCUGCUUCUGGGCUUUUUGAAUGUUUGGCUGGCCCACUGAGGAAACACUGGCAAAUUCCCCUCUCCAUGGAAUGCCCCUCAAUUUAUUUACAGAUCAUAUUGUCCAUAAUUUUGGUCCCCAUGCCUGCUCUUAGUUUUUCAAGAGGCAAAUGAUAUGUUAUUGGAUGACAAUGGGUAAAACCUUGUCUCUUUUUAAUCCUUUUCUUCUUCUGUUUUCUUUUUUUCUUCCCUAUGAACCUGCACAAUCUCUUCGUUCAUUGGGGGAGGCCCUUCUCUCACUCCCGUCUCCAUCGCAGGCUUGGAUGGCGGGAACGAGGGAGCGGGCCUUCUUGGUUGUGGCCCCCCGGAUCUGGAACUCCCUCCCUAGGGAGAUCAGGCAGGCUCCCACCUUUGCAUCUUUUAAAAAGCAGUUAAAAACUUCAUUUUUUUGCUAGACAUUUGAAUAACUCAGUCCCCAUGUCCUAAAUUAAAUCAAUAUAUUUCUCACGCACUGUUCCUGCUUUAUAAUUAACCGGAUGCCCAUCCCCUGUAAACAAUUAAUUUUUUUUCCAUCUUGUCGUUUGUCCCACAGCACUUUAUAACAAUAUUACUGCACUUUAAGUCAAAUGUCCCCUCCAUACUACCCCCCUCCAUUAACCUGGUGGUUCAUUCCAUUUUACUAUGUCUGUACUCAUUUUAUGCUUUUAAAUGAGUUUUAUGAUCAUUGUAAUGUAUUGUUUUAUAGUGUCGAUUUUGUUGUGGUUUUAUUUACUGUAAUAUGUUUUAACUGUUGUAUUUGUUUUGUUAGCCGCCCCGAGUCCCUGUCGGGAGAUGGUGGCGGGGUAUAAGAAUAAAAUUACUUACUUACAUACUUACUGUUAGAAAUCACCUUCCCCAUCCUGCUCUCUCUUGAAAUUGGUCUGAAACCUGCAGGUUGUCUCUGGCAGCCUUGAGUAAACAGCAUCAAAUUUGGCUACCUGUUGCCAGGUUUGUGCCAAUAUAUUUGAUAAUGUAACAUGUGAUUCUAAAGUCCAACAAUAUUAGCUUACAUUAGGAGAAGUAAUAUGUAGUUCUGUCACAAGAGACUUUUACAAAUCCAGAAUAUGAAUCUAUUACAUCAUUUUUAGAACUCAGAUAGUAAAGAACUAAUGAAUUCAAUCCAACUUAGACUGUGUGUUUAUGUGCAGUAACGUUACCAUUCAUAUGUGCUUGUGGGUAUGCCUUCAAGUUGCCGGCCUGAUGACUUAUUUUCAUGGGAUUUUCUUAUGCAAGGAAUGCUAGUUCCUUCUUCUGAAAUACUUCACCUGGCAUUUGUUGGCAGUCUACCACCAAAAUUCUAAGUAUGGGUGACCCUUUUUAGGUUCCAAGAUUAGACAGGAUCUGGUGCUGUAAAGUCUUUAGGAUCUGGAGCCUCUAUGUGUUUAAAGUAUUUAUAUGCUAAUCUCACCAACUGUGAUCAGUCAGUAUGUAAGGCCAACGUUCAUUUUUCCCCCAAAAAACCCUUACCAGGUUAAGACUUUAGUGGAUGGAUGCAACUAUUUUUUAAAAGCCACAUUAUUAUUUUUAUUUAAAGGAGUAAGAGUGGAAUUCUAUCUUGGUUGAAUUGGUAACUCAUUCUUCCAUGUAAGCACUGCAAGAUAUUCUUAUUUGGGAGGAUUAAAUAUUUCCAGAUGAUUUAUUGCCAGCUCAUUCUUAAUGUUUGUUGACAAUUUGUAUCCAUAAAUUAUCCUGUGUUGGCUGUUAUUAAAGCCUGUUUAUUCCAUAAACACCUUACAUUAAAACUCAUAAACCUAACAAAGCCUAUCUAAUCUUUACAUUUUAUAUUCUCUAAGAAUUUUAAUGUGGUUAUACUACUUUUUUCAGUAAUGAUGAUGACAUCAUGAAGUCCUUUCUUCUUUGAAUUUAUUAUACUGAAACUAGAAGCAUAAAGGAAAUUCAUGUUUCUUUCUAGUGAAGAUAUUUCAUAUUUCCCAGGAUUGGUCAGGGGGCAAAGAAUGUCUUGCCUUGGGAAUCCAAAUGUUUCCAAGGCUUAUGAUGCAUUCUGGUAGAGAAAAAUGUGUACAAACCAUGCAUUUAUUUGGUAAAUUUGCACAAUUAAAAACAUGCACACAACCUGCAGCAAAGGGGAGAAUGCAUGAAUAAAUGUCUACAUUGGGGAAAAUUUGUACAAAAAAUGUAUACUUUAGAGAAAAUACAGAUUUCUAACACAAAAGUAGAAAAAAAUACUAGUCCCAGUUCUUUGAGAGACUAGAAAAUUCUCACCUUCCUAUUAAAACAAAGGUGUGAUGAAUGAAGCAAUAUUUUACUGACAGGAUUAUAAAUCCAUUUUGGCGGGUGAAAGGUGCCUCCUGCAUUAGCAAUGAAGCCUAAAUUGCACUUAUAGCCUAGAACAUACUGAAUAUGAACAUAAUUGUUUAGUAUUCAAAGUUUCCACGAUCCUGCAAAUCCACUGUAAAUCUGUUACCGCUCACAUGAUCCUGCAAAAUCCCAGAUCAUAGUCUCUCUUCCUA